rnacentral:rRNA from 1 species
AGAGUUUGAUCCUGGCUCAGAUUGAACGCUGGCGGAAUGCUUUACACAUGCAAGUCGAGCGGCAGCGCGGGGCAACCUGGCGGCGAGCGGCGAACGGGUGAGUAAUGCAUCGGAACAUGUCCAUGUCGUGGGGGAUAGCCCGGCGAAAGCCGGAUUAAUACCGCAUAAGCCCGAGAGGGGAAAGCCGGGGACCGCAAGGCCUGGCGCGAUUGGGUUGGCCGAUGUCCGAUUAGCUAGUUGGUGGGGUAAAGGCCCACCAAGGCGAUGAUCGGUAGCUGGUCUGAGAGGAUGAUCAGCCACACUGGGACUGAGACACGGCCCAGACUCCUACGGGAGGCAGCAGUGGGGAAUUUUGGACAAUGGGGGAAACCCUGAUCCAGCCAUUCCGCGUGAGUGAAGAAGGCCUUCGGGUUGUAAAGCUCUUUUGUCCGGAACGAAACGGUUACGGCUAAUACCUGUGACUACUGACGGUACCGGGAGAAUAAGCACCGGCUAACUACGUGCCAGCAGCCGCGGUAAUACGUAGGGUGCGAGCGUUAAUCGGAAUUACUGGGCGUAAAGCGUGCGCAGGCGGUUUUGUAAGCCAGAUGUGAAAUCCCCGGGCUUAACCUGGGAAUGGCAUUUGGGACUGCAAGGCUGGAGUGCGGCAGAGGAGACUGGAAUUCCUGGUGUAGCAGUGAAAUGCGUAGAUAUCAGGAGGAACACCGAUGGCGAAGGCAGGUCUCUGGGCUGACACUGACGCUCAUGCACGAAAGCGUGGGGAGCAAACAGGAUUAGAUACCCUGGUAGUCC